rnacentral:rRNA from 1 species
GACGAACGCUGGCGGCGUGCUUAACACAUGCAAGUCGAACGGAAAGGCCCUGCUUUUGUGGGGUGCUCGAGUGGCGAACGGGUGAGUAACACGUGAGUAACCUGCCCUUGACUUUGGGAUAACUUCAGGAAACUGGGGCUAAUACCGGAUAGGAGCUCCUGCUGCAUGGUGGGGGUUGGAAAGUUUCGGCGGGUGGGGAUGGACUCGCGGCUUAUCAGCUUGUUGGUGGGGGAGUGGCUUACCAAGGCUGUGACGGGUAGCCGGCCUGAGAGGGUGACCGGCCACAUUGGGACUGAGAGACGGCCCAGACUCCUACGGGAGACAGCAGUGGGGAAUAUUGCACAAUGGGCGCAAGCCUGAGGCAGCAGCGCCGCGUGCGGGAUGACGGCCUUCGGGUUGUAAACCGCUUUCGCCUGUGACGAAGCUUGAGUGACGGUAAUGGGUAAAGAAGCACCGGCUAACUACGUG